rnacentral:tRNA from 1 species
GCAUCCGUAGCCAAGUUGGUUCAAGGCGUCGGUCCGCAAAACCGAAGACGCGGGUUCGACUCCCGCCGGAUGCU